rnacentral:misc_RNA from 1 species
UCCGGUUUGUCACCGGCAGUCUCAUUAGAGUGCCCUUGCGUAGCAACUAAUGAUAAGGGUUGCGCUCGUUGCGGGACUUAACCCAACAUCUCACGACACGAGCUGACGACAGCCAUGCAGCACCUGUGCACGGGCUCCGAAGAGGGGCUCCCUUUUCUGAAAGCUUUCCCGUGUAUGUCAAGCCUAGGUAAGGUUCUUCGCGUUGCGUCGAAUUAAACCACAUGCUCCACCGCUUGUGCGGGCCCCCGUCAAUUCCUUUGUGUUUUAAUCUUGCGACCGUACUCCCCAGGCGGGAUGCUUAAUGCGUUAGCUGCGCCACUGACGAGUAAACCCGCCAACGGCUAGCAUCCAUCGUUUACGGCGUGGACUAC